rnacentral:rRNA from 1 species
UACAGAGGUCUCAAGCGUUGUUCGGAUUCAUUGGGCGUAAAGCGCACGUAGGCGGCCUGUUAAGUCGGGUGUGAAAGCCCUGGGCUCAACCCAGGAAGUGCACUCGAAACUGGCAGGCUUGAAUAUGGAAGAGGGUCGCGGAAUUCCCGGUGUAGAGGUGAAAUUCGUAGAUAUCGGGAGGAACACCGGUGGCGAAGGCGGCGACCUGGGACGAUACUGACGCUGAGGUGCGAAAGCGUGGGGAGCAAACAGG